rnacentral:rRNA from 1 species
CCUACGGGUGGCUGCAGUGAGGAAUAUUGGUCAAUGGACGAGAGUCUGAACCAGCCAAGUAGCGUGAAGGAUGACUGCCCUAUGGGUUGUAAACUUCUUUUAUAAAGGAAUAAAACGAGGCACGUGUGCCUUUUUGAUUGUACUUUAUGAAUAAGGAUCGGCUAACUCCGUGCAAGCAGCGCCGGUAAUACGGAGGAUCCGAGCGUUAUCCGGAUUUAUUGGGUUUAAAGGGAGCGUAGAUGGGUUGUUAAGUCAGUUGGGAAAGUUUGCGGCUCAACCGUAAAAUUGCAAUUGAUACUGGCAGUCUUGAGUACAGUUGAGGUAGGCGGAAUUCGUGGUGUAGCGGUGAAAUGCUUAGAUAUCACGAAGAACCCCGAUUGCGAAGGCAGCUUACUAAACUGUGACUGACAUUGAUGCUCGAAAGUGUGGGUAUCAAACAGGAUUAGAUACCCCUGUAGUC